UAAUUUGUCGAUGCAGCAUCAUCAAGAUUCUCAUUUUUGAAAAAAAAUAAUAAUAUGGAAUUUAGAAGCAACUUGAUUUUUUUUCCUACUCCAUAUUAUUUCUAUUUUAUGUGAAUCUUGAUGAUGCUGCAGCUGCAAAUAA
rfam:Solanum lycopersicum cultivar Heinz 1706 chromosome 11, whole genome shotgun sequence.